GGGUGGGAAUCGGUGAAAAUGCGGUUCACUGGUCAAUAUUCAAAAAGGCUUCUUAAUGAGGGUGUGCUGAAAUAGGAAAGUGCCACUUUAGAGAGUGAUGAAUUCCAGGCCUUAGCUCCUUGCCUGGCUUCUGAGGAUGUACACAGAUUUUGGUGAAGAAAUGGACUCCUGUUUGGAGAUUUCAGAGGGAAAGCUUGGACUGCCACUAGGCAAGAAGAAAAGUAGAACAGAUGGUCCACAAAGCCACAUCCACAAAGAUGAGAGUGUGGCUGCUGGUAAAAGACACUGGAAAUGACGGCAGCUUAAAUAAAACUGCACACAGCUUCUCCCAUGCCAAAGGAAGCUGGAGGUGGACAGCCCAGGGCUACAUGGGAGCUGCAGACUCCUCCGGUGUUGGGGCUCCUCCCAUCCUUCCACCCCGCCUCAUCCAGCGUCUUUCCUAAGUGUGCUUCACAGUCCUGGUGUGGCUGCUGAGGCUGCAGCCACCACCUCUGCAUUCCAGGCAAGAGGUGGGAAAAGUGGGAGGAAGACAAAAAAGGCCCUUGUUGAAAGCCUCACCCCGGAGUGACUUCUUCCCUCUACUUGACCAUUUUCUUGAGGAUGGCACUGAUUGGGCGUGGCCACCAGUCCCUGAGGAAGUGCUCAUUGAUCUGCAGCAGAAUGAGAUUGUACAUAGCUGGAGUCAUUCAGUAUGGCCUCUCACGGACCUGACUGUUCUCACUUAGCAUCAUGUUUUGAGGCUCAUCCACACACGGCCUGAAUCAGAGUUGCUUCCUUUUUACUGCGGGGCGGUGUUCCACGGGGCGGACGGGCUAAAUGUUGUUUACUCAUCCCCCAGUUGAUGGACGUUCAGUUGGCUUCCCGUUCUGUCUGUCAUGAAUAACGCUGUGACGCGCACUUGUGUGCCGGUCUGCGUGUGGCCGCCUUUUCCUCGGCUUUCCCACCCGGAAGAGUGCUGAGGAGUGUGCACCUUCACUUCAGGAAGUCUCAACAUUAACAAAGAAGAGCCAACGCUGGCCGAGGAGGCUUCAGAGCCUCCUGUUCCUCCUUGUGUCUUUUGAGUAUUUUUUCAUGGAAGUUUGGUGGGUUGACGUAGCUGACUUAAAUUAUCCAGAGUUGGUCCUCACCUGUGAUCAGCCCC
rnacentral:lncRNA from 1 species